GAUCAUGGCUCAGGAUGAACGCUAGCGGCAGGCUUAACACAUGCAGGUCGAGGGGCAGCAUAAUGGAUAGCAAUAUCUAUGGUGGCGACCGGCGCACGGGUGCGUAACGCGUAUGCAACCUACCUUUAACAGGGGGAUAACACUGAGAAAUUGGUACUAAUACCCCAUAAUAUCAUAGAAGGCAUCUUUUAUGGUUGGAAAUUCCGAUGGUUAGAGAUGGGCAUGCGUUGUA
rnacentral:rRNA from 1 species